rnacentral:rRNA from 1 species
CCUACGGGUGGCAGCAGUGGGGAAUAUUGGGCAAUGGGCGCAAGCCUGACCCAGCAACGCCGCGUGAAGGAAGAAGGCUUUCGGGUUGUAAACUUCUUUUCUGAGGGACGAAGAAAGUGACGGUACCUCGGGAAUAAGCCACGGCUAACUACGUGCCAGCAGCCGCGGGAAUACGUAGGUGGCAAGCGUUAUCCGGAUUUAUUGGGUGUAAAGGGCGUGUAGGCGGGAAAGUAAGUCAGAUGGGAAAACUCAGGGCUCAACCCUGAGCCUGCAGUUGAAACUGUUUUCCUUGAGUGCUGGAGAGGCAAUCGGAAUGCCGGGUGUAGCGGUGAAAUGCGUAGAUAUACGGAGGAACACCAGUGGCGAAGGCGGAUUGCUGGACAGUAACUGACGCUGAGGCGCGAAAGCGUGGGGAGCAAACAGGAUUAGAUACCCUGGUAGUC